AGUGGGGAAUAUUGGACAAUGGGGGCAACCCUGAUCCAGCCAUGCCGCGUGUGUGAAGAAGGCCUUCGGGUUGUAAAGCACUUUCAGCUGUGAGGAAAGGUGAGUGGUUAAUACCCGCUUACUGUGACGUUAACAGCAGAAGAAGGACCGGCUAACUCCGUGCCAGCAGCCGCGGUAAUACGGAGGGUCCGAGCGUUAAUCGGAAUUACUGGGCGUAAAGCGCGCGUAGGUGGUUCAGUCAGUCAGAUGUGAAAGCCCCGGGCUCAACCUGGGAACGGCACCUGAUACUGCUGAGCUAGAGUACGGUAGAGGGCAGUGGAAUUUCCGGUGUAGCGGUGAAAUGCGUAGAGAUCGGAAGGAACACCAGUGGCGAAGGCGACUGCCUGGACCGAUACUGACACUGAGGUGCGAAAGCGUGGGUAGCAAACAGGAUUAGAUACCCUGGUAGUCCACGCCGUAAACGAUGUCAACUAGCCGUUGGAGGACUUGAUCCUUUAGUGGCGCAGCCAACGCGAUAAGUUGACCGCCUGGGGAGUACGGCCGCAAGGUUA
rnacentral:rRNA from 1 species